CCUACGGGAGGCUGCAGUGGGGAAUAUUGGACAAUGGGGGGAACCCUGAUCCAGCCAUGCCGCGUGUGUGAAGAAGGCCCUCGGGUUGUAAAGCACUUUCAGUGAGGAAGAACGCCUGGUGGUUAAUACCCAUCAGGAAAGACAUCACUCACAGAAGAAGCACCGGCUAACUCCGUGCCAGUAGCCGCGGUAAUACGGAGGGUGCGAGCGUUAAUCGGAAUUACUGGGCGUAAAGCGCGCGUAGGUGGCUUGAUAAGCCGGUUGUGAAAGCCCCGGGCUCAACCUGGGAACGGCAUCCGGAACUGUCAAGCUAGAGUGCAGGAGAGGAAGGUAGAAUUCCCGGUGUAGCGGUGAAAUGCGUAGAGAUCGGGAGGAAUACCAGUGGCGAAGGCGGCCUUCUGGACUGACACUGACACUGAGGUGCGAAAGCGUGGGUAGCAAACAGGAUUAGAUACCCUGGUAGUC
rnacentral:rRNA from 1 species